GAUGAACGCUAGCGACAGGCUUAACACAUGCAAGUCGAGGGGCAGCAUGGGAGGUGGCGACACCACCCGAUGGCGACCGGCGCACUGGUGAGUAACACGUAUGCAACCUGCCCCCUACAGGGGGAUAACCCAGAGAAAUUUGGCCUAAUACCCCGUAGUCAGCGAGAGGGCAUCCUCUUGCUGGGAAAGCUCCGGCGGUAGGGGAUGGGCAUGCGGCGCAUUAGCUUGUUGGCGGGGUAACGGCCCACCAAGCCGACGAUGCCUAGGGGGGCUGAGAGGCCUGACCCCCACACUGGUACUGAGACACGGACCAGACUCCUACGGGAGGCAGCAGUGAGGAAUAUUGGUCAAUGGGCGGAAGCCUGAACCAGCCAUGCCGCGUGAGGGAUGGAGGCCCUAUGGGUUGUAAACCUCUUUUAGCCGGGAGUAAUAAGGGCGGUGCGCCGUCCGAUGAGAGUACCGGCGGAAUAAGCAUCGGCUAACUCCGUGCCAGCAGCCGCGGUAAUACGGAGGAUGCGAGCGUUAUCCGGAUUUAUUGGGUUUAAAGGGUGCGCAGGCGGCGCGUUAAGUCAGCGGUGAAAUGCCCCGGCUCAACCGGGGAGCUGCCGUUGAUACUGGCGUGCUGGAGUGCGAACGGCGCCGGCGGAAUGUGCAAUGUAGCGGUGAAAUGCAUAGAUAUUGCACAGAACACCGAUCGCGAAGGCAGCUGGCGAGGACGCAACUGACGCUGAGGCACGAAGGCGUGGGGAUCGAACA
rnacentral:rRNA from 1 species